CCUACGGGAGGCAGCAGUGGGGAAUAUUGGGCAAUGGGCGCAAGCCUGACCCAGCAACGCCGCGUGAAGGAAGUAGGCGUUCGGGUUGUAAACUUCUUUUCUCAGGGACGAAGCAAGUGACGGUACCUGAGGAAUAAGGCACGGCUAACUACGUGCCAGCAGCCGCGGUAAGACGUAGGUGGCAAGCGUUAUCCGGAUUUACUGGGUGUAAAGGGCGUGUAGGCGGGAAAGCAAGUCAGAUGUGAAAACCAUGGGCUCAACCUGUGGCCUGCAUUUGAAACUGUUUGUCUUGAGUCCUGGAGAGGCAGACGGAAUGCCUAGUGUAGCGGUGAAAUGCGUAGAUAUUAGGAGGAACACCAGUGGCGAAGGCGGUCUGCUGGACAGCAACUGACGCUGAGGCGCGAAAGCGUGGGGAGCAAACAGGAUUAGAUACCCCUGUAGUC
rnacentral:rRNA from 1 species